rnacentral:rRNA from 1 species
AGAGUUUGAUCAUGGCUCAGGAUGAACGCUAGCUACAGGCUUAACACAUGCAAGUCGAGGGGCAGCAUUCCAGUUUGCUUGCAAACUGGAGAUGGCGACCGGCGCACGGGUGAGUAACACGUAUCCAACCUGCCGAUAACUCGGGGAUAGCCUUUCGAAAGAAAGAUUAAUACCCGAUGGUAUAAUCAGACCGCAUGGUCUUGUUAUUAAAGAAUUUCGGUUAUCGAUGGGGAUGCGUUCCAUUAGGCAGUUGGUGAGGUAACGGCUCACCAAACCUUCGAUGGAUAGGGGUUCUGAGAGGAAGGUCCCCCACACUGGAACUGAGACACGGUCCAAACUCCUACGGGAGGCAGCA